AUGUUCUUCUUCACUGUGAGAUUAGAUCCUGGUAGCCCUGAACUACAUAAUCAAAGUCCGGCUUGUCCUGAGCCCAAAGACGAGUCCCACGGCCAAAUGCAUUGGAAGGACGCCUCUUUGAGCCCUGAAUUCAAUGAUAUAGAUGAAUUUGAAUGUUCCAGUCCAAAGCUUGAAGACGCAGAAGAACACAACCAGAUCACCAAUGACCAGAACACAGUGGAGCUGGAGAUCGUGACAAGCAGUGAUCCUCCUAAACAUGAUGAAAUAUUAGUGCCUGAUUGUGAAAAGGUGGUUUUAGAUAUUCCAAGUCUUACAUUUGAGGAUUCGAAUGCUUGCCAAAGUGUGCUUGAUUCAGAGUGGAAUGACCAAUGGACGCCAAAUCCAGAUGUAGCUGAACCUGUUCCUGAUUCAUCCAUCCUGGACACAGAAAGCAAUCUGCCUAAUUCUACAUCUCAAGACCUCUCUUGUCUGUUCAGUAACACAGAAACAUCAGCUACUGAUCCGUUUUAUGCCCAUGAGCAACUCAGCCCUGAAUUCAUUCGUUCACAACACAAACCAUCAUCCUCUGAAGGCUUGGUCAUGAGUAAACUUGAACUCCAGUAUUUUGACCCGUUUAGUCCCAUACCUGCUGAGCCGGUCGAAGGCAUAUCUGAUUUAGAAGAAAUUAACCCUGUUAACUCUUUUUGUCAUGAAGCUCCAAGACUAGAUUCCGGUUAUCAUGAAGUUGGUACUCCUACUCCUUUUAGUCCAGAACCUGUUGACAAAACCAAAUUUAGCAUUGAUCUUCAAGGCCCAGGUUUGGAAGCCAGAAAGCAGAGCGAUUCUGAAAUCCACGUCCCUGAUCCAUUUAGCCCCGAAUCCGUCGAUACAGGGAUAUUUGACUCGGAAACAGAAAACUGUGAGUCUGGUUUUAUGUUUACGACGUGUCAACUCUUAAGUCCUCAACCACUUUACACAGAUUUAAAUAAUCUGGAGGAGAAGCAGAUAUCCAUGUCCUGUGACGUGUUAAGUGAUCAUCUCAGUGAUGGUUACCCCUUUGGUUCUUGCCCAUCUAAUGAAGAGAGCUAUGCUUACAGUAGUGAAGAAAAACUCAUUGAACCAAUCCGAGAAGGAUCUGAUGCUUCACGAGAAUCCAAACCUAGCUCUAUAGUGUCAAAUGCUAGUGGUUCUUCUCAAGCAUUUCACUGUGGUUCUGUGUGGGGAACCUCUGAAACGAGCUUCCCCAACCCCGAAGUGCUCGACCCAAUGAAAAACAACAUUUUUGAUUUUAAUGCAACGGAUGUUGGCUUGUUUGUGUCCGAUGUAAGCCAACAAGCUGAAGAGAAUACACAUGGUGCUGGAAAAGUACUGAAAAACUCCGACCUGACUGAAAUUGACUAUUUCUGUUCUGAGCUCAGUAAAAUGGUAUCCUCAAGUUCAUCUGAUUUUGUUCAACAGAGUGUUGCUGAGAUGUUAUUCGGCGCUGAUCCAAACACCUCAAGCUUUUACCCCUGGGAUUUUGAAAAGCCUCAACACAGUUGUUAG
rnacentral:lncRNA from 1 species